UUGCGUGCCCGAGUUAGAGCGGCGAUGGCCGGCGCACCCUCGCACGCUUUCACUUGCACAUACUUCUGAAUAUGGCGCGCGGCGACGAUUUCAUCGCCCUUAGACUUUAUACGAAACCUAACGGCGAUGAUGAUGGUGACGACGACGGCGACGAUGGUAGCAGAAAUGCGCUGGCCAAGACGUUGCCAUAAUUGCAGGCUUAAUUGUUUUUCCUGAGAAGCGUGGCCUACAAAGCACCAGGGGAGAAACUGGCACUCGUGACAUAUUUCCCAUUUACCCGGGGAUAUACCAGCUGACAUAGCCGUGGCUCGAAUCAUAGAUCAAGCGGAAGCUGUGUUUGAGGUCUGACAACCAUCCCACUUCGAAAGCUGUGGCCAUGGCGCAUGACUCACUUACAAAACUUGUGGCCGCUUUGCCUGCCGCUUUUUAUUUACAUGUGUUUAAUUUGUGGUUCAGGUUAGGGCUGUUAAUCGUGGUUAUUAUGGGCGUUAGUUUCUGUUUGCAUAUAGUGACCGAGCCGGACUGACUUCGAAGGAGACAACGAAUGAAACGGCCGAUUCGUCUCUUUGCUUACCUUCAAGACCGAGUGCUGCUGAGAAUUUCAAUUAAUCCGCGCAACAACAGGACAUAAACUGUCGAAUAUUGGCCUUGGAAAAACCAGGUGAUGAAAAAAAAUCUGUGUCUGUGCUGCACAAUGAUGCUUGUGACAGACAUGAAAGUAUCGAUGGAUAGGUGCCUGCCUAUUGUAAUUACACCAUCUCGUUGCACUGAAAGAACCUAGCUGCUGCAUAAGUACUUGACUAAUCUGCCUGCAUCGCCAUUGUGACACUUUGAAUUACCAUUUGGCCGAUUGUAGAAUCCCAAAAGAUACGCUGCUGUCCUGCAUUUUGUUCCUGGGUCCACUGCUGAAGUUCUGCUAGCCAAAUGAAAGCCAACUGUCAUGCACAUACAAUGGAAGAAAUUCAUUGUUCCGGCCUUCAUAACCAAUCUUUUGCUUAAGCUAGAAGCAGAGCAGAAGUAGCAUGUUCCUACAUAGAUAUACUACGUACUGCAUACCGUUGGAUGCCUACACCCGACAUGCUACGGUCCACAAAACCAAUGGUGUUUUAUUCUAGAAUAUCUUUGUCAGUAAUAUUACUGCUUGUGUUUGUAGGAUGAGAGUUCAAGCUGUUUUUGCAAUCAUAUCGGAACACGAAAAGACGAGGAUAAUGUUACUUCAUCGUUUGAGGUAUUGGCGCUUAAAUUGACGAGAAAUGAUUAAGGGGUACGUACUGUUUCAUUAAAUAUCACUAAAGAAUAGAAACCUGGCUGACAAAACGAAUACCUCAGCUACAAGGACUCUAUGAAGGUAAAUGAAUGCAGUCAAAGUUCUUUUGGCGGUGAUCUGUCAACUGCUAGCAUGUAGAAACGGAGAUAGAGGUCUUAGCCAGAAUAGUCCGACAACUACUACAAUGCACCACUACAGAUCAACUGUACCUCUUCUCCACUUGCGCACGAAUGCAAGCACAUCACAUCGAGCACACUUAGAAAGACAGUUGCGCUGCGUGCUUGUGGUGGCAGUGCCAUGCCUGCAUAUUGAUACAGUUGGCAAAAACCAUACACUGACGUUCAGUCACAUCAAAACUAGCGAAGGUACUGUAUUUGUCUUCUUUCGUUUAAAUACAUUCCUUUAGGAUUUGUUUAUGCUGAAGAACAUGAUGUCUUAUUUUAUGAGCAUAGGAUAUUCCUAUUGUUCAUUUGCAAAGAAUUAUGUUUAGGUUGGUCGGGCGCUUGGGCAGCCAGACCAACAUACAGCGAUCUAGCACUUACAUACAGCACCCACUAAUUGCUGGAAUGUUCGCAACAAACAUGUGUGAGUUGUAUCUGCUGCCAUUUACUGGUAUUGCCUCCAUUAGGAGCUACGUCACUGCUACAGCUGUAUUUAUCACACUUAAAAAUAUGUUAAAUAGAAAAUUACACACUCUUGUAUUCUU